AUUCAAUUAGUAUUUUGCACAAGUGAAUAUAACAAAUCCUACAAGUUGAUUGGUCAAAUUUGACGUAUUAAGCUGUUUUAGUAUAAUUACAUAGGAGAUUAUUGAAAAUUCUCCACGCUGAUUGGUUGCCGUUGAGGUGAUUAUAACGCGUUAAUCACCUAAGCGAUUCUCAAAAUGGCGGACGAAGCCGUUUUGCCAAUAAAAUGACGAAGAAAUGUGUAUUUUUUAUUUUUUUCCACAUAAUCACCUAUGAAAUUAUACUAAAACAAUUAUUCACCUC